rnacentral:rRNA from 1 species
AUUGAACGCUGGCGGCAGGCCUAACACAUGCAAGUCGAACGAGUGGCGGACGGGUGAGUAAUGUCUGGGAAACUGCCCGAUGGAGGGGGAUAACUACUGGAAACGGUAGCUAAUACCGCAUACCAUCGGAUGUGCCCAGCUGGGAUUAGCUAGUAGGUGGGGUAACGGCUCACCUAGGCGACGAUCCCUAGCUGGUCUGAGAGGAUGACCAGCCACCCUUGAAAUGAGACCCGGUCCAGACUCCUUCGGGAGGCCGCAGUGGGGAAUAUUUCCCAAUUGGCGCAAGCCUUAUGCAGCCAUGCCGCGUGUAUGAAGAAGGCCUUCGGGUUUUAAAGUACUUUCAGCGAGGAGGCGUUACUCGCAGAAGAAGCACCGGCUAACUCCGUGCCAGCAGCCGCGGUAAUAC